rnacentral:rRNA from 1 species
GACGAACCUUGCUAACGUUAUUCGGAAUUACUGGGCUUAAAGGGCGCGUAGGCGGCUUUAUAAGUCGGGGGUGAAAGCCUGUGGCUCAACCACAGAAUUGCCUUCGAUACUGUAGAGCUUGAGACCGGAAGAGGUAAGUGGAACUGCGAGUGUAGAGGUGAAAUUCGUAGAUAUUCGCAAGAACACCAGUGGCGAAGGCGGCUUACUGGUCCGGUUCUGACGCUGAGGCGCGAAAGCGUGGGGAGCAAACAGG